CGUUUUCCGAUAGUACUCCACCAGCGUUUGUCUCUCUCUCGGCCCUCUUUCUCUCUAUCCUAACCCUAAUCGAACCUGCUACUUCAUGUGCGACGAUUCCAAUCUCUUUUGUUUUGAUAUUAUCAUUCAGGUUGAGUUGAUGGCUUCGGAGGUGCUAACAAAUGAAGCUUACCAUGAAAAUGACAUGGAAGGAAUGAACUUGAUGCAAGUUGUAGGCGCAUAUUUUUUCGUUACCAGGAAGUUUUGGCGAAGGAUCCUUUCCAAGGCACUAUUUGAAAGAUUUGAUGUCCUUUGACUAUUUGUCCUGCUCAAAAUGCUUUUUUUAGAGGAAGAAAAAUCUUCGAUCCUAUUUGCAAUAGAGGAAGGAAAAAAAAAAAAGGAUAAGGACUUUCAAUUUAGGACUUAUUUUUUAUACUUAGAGCUUUUGAAGCUGCAGCUGGUUUGAAAAUUAAUUGGAAAAGAUCAUCAGAUUGUGGAAUCAAUAUUGAGGCCAAAAGAGUGGAGUUAACUGCUAUUCAGUUGGGAUGGUACAAAGCUGAAAAUUGCCUAUUUCUAUUCUUGGUUUUAUCUAUCCUUCCUUUAUAAGCCAUUAGAUCAUGGACGUUUGGGUCUCGGAAACCUUUUCAAUCACCUUUAUUUCUUUAGGCCCAUUUCAAAGAGGUGAUGGAGGUAUUCAAAUGAGCUGCUUGAAUUGUGGACCAAAGUGGUUAUAUAUGAAACUGAUGAGUUUGAUGGUUCGCUAUACAGAAAAUUGGAAGGUGCCGGAGAGGUCCUUGGUGGAAUAUAUCCGAAGUAACAUUUUGGUAGAUCCUACUAGCAUUUUGGUUGGAGAUGGAAGAAGAACAAAAUUUUGGCAAGACUCUCGGCUGGGCGAUAUCCCUCUAGCAUUGCAACCUCCAACUUUUAUGCGGUAUUCCGAGAACAAAGCUGCUCUGCAACGGGGUUUUCUUAAACCUCAACGAAUAGAUCACAGAAUAUUUUGGCAAAAGGGGGAACCUUCAUGAAGAAGAAAAGGAGAAGCUUAGAUUAGAAGACUCUUGGAGGUGAUUAAUGAAGCUUCCCCCAUUUUUUUGCCUCACAAAGAAUGCAAAUUUGGACUCUGGUAAGCAAGUAAUACAUCUUUCCACCAAUAAGAUUGGGAGAAAAGAAAAAGUGUGCAGUCCCUUCAUUCUGCCUUCCUUGUUCCUCUAGACCUUCUCUAGAGAGUGCUUCCUCAGCUUGAACCUGCUGCAAUGCACCUUCUCCUCGUUUUGAAGCGGCCAAUGUCAUCAGUUUCUGGUGGCUCAAUGGCAGUGAGAUUGAUGUAAGAAAGCUGAACGUUCUCACAAGGCAUGGCUGAGCUGCAUUGCAGAUUUACUGCAAAUUCAGAGUUAAAUGAUGGUAGAUACGAUACCUGAUUCCAUGACCAGGACCACAUAUAACGUUAGAAACCGACACGUUGAUGCUACCAGGUCCGAUGGA